GACGAACGCUGGCGGCGCGCUUAACACAUGCAAGUCGAGCGAAGCGGCGGACGGGUGAGUAACACGUGAGUAACCUGCAUUAGACAUUGGGAUAGCCUCGGGAAACCGGGAUUAAUACCAAAUGGUCUAAGAUGGACUCGCGUCCCAUUAGCUAGUUGGUGGGUAACGGCCCACCCAGGCGACGAUGGGUAGCCGGCCUGACAGGGUGAACGGCAACAUUUGAACUGAGAAACGGUCCAAACUCUACGGGAGGCAGCAGUGGGGAAUAUUGCACAAUGGGUGUAACCCUGAUGCGGCGACGACGCAUGAACGAAGAAGGCUUUCGAGUCGUAAAGUUCUUUUAUAUGGGAAGCGGUACCAGAAGAAAAAGCCCCGGCUAACUACGUGCCAGCAGCCGCGGUAAUAC
rnacentral:rRNA from 1 species